UGCAAAAGGGUAAGAAGCCCGCCGCGGA
rnacentral:sRNA from 1 species